GAUGAACGCUGGCGGCGUGCCUAAUACAUGCAAGUCGAGCGAACAGACGAGGAGCUUGCUCCUCUGACGUUAGCGGCGGACGGGUGAGUAACACGUGGAUAACCUACCUAUAAGACUGGGAUAACUUCGGGAAACCGGAGCUAAUACCGGAUAAUAUAUUGAACCGCAUGGUUCAAUAGUGAAAGACGGUUUUGCUGUCACUUAUAGAUGGAUCCGCGCCGCAUUAGCUAGUUGGUAAGGUAACGGCUUACCAAGGCAACGAUGCGUAGCCGACCUGAGAGGGUGAUUCGCCAACCUGGAACUGGGACACGGUCCCGGAUCCUAAGGGAGGGCGCAGGAGGGAAUCCUACGCAAUGGGGGAAAGCCUGACGGAGCAACGCCGCGUGAGUGAUGAAGGUCUUCGGAUUGUAAAACCCUUUUAUUAGGGAAGAACAAAUGUGUAAGUAACUAUGCACGUCUUGACGGUACCUAAUCAGAAAGCCACGGCUAACUACGUG
rnacentral:rRNA from 1 species